CCAAAGAAACAGGGGUGCUGCAACUGAUAGGCAAUAGAUCAAGGCGCGGCUGAGAGUUACCCUUUAUACCCGAACAAGAUAAUACUUGCGUGGGGAGUUUUCAGCGUAACCGA
rnacentral:ncRNA from 2 species